UAGCAUCGACCAGAGUAAUCAACAAAGCCCGGUCCAUAAAGGGGUAACGUGGUCGCACAUGUAAAGUUGGGACGGUCGACACAUCAUAAAUUUAUUUCCAUUUCCGAAACCACUCACACCAAAAUACCCGGUGCACCACUUCACCAAAAGUGGUCACCUAACUCAUCAUCACCCUCGGGCAUUAGCGGCACCUGAAGGGGUUUUCAUAAACCUUUGAUAUAUACCAUCCUCAUGCUCAUGCUUCCAUUAUGUUUAGCUCUACUUGUCAACAUGGUAUUAGCGUGACCCUCAUAGGUGGUAAGAUCAUGCUCAAAAUGCAAAUGCUCCGAAGAAGCCAUUGGUAACAUCACUUCAAUGAUUUACCAAAUCUUUUAUGAUCACAUGCAACGAAA
rnacentral:lncRNA from 1 species